rnacentral:rRNA from 1 species
CACGUAGGGUGCGAGCGUUGUCCGGAAUUAUUGGGCGUAAAGAGCUCGUAGGCGGUGUGUCGCGUCGGCCGUGAAAACCUGCAGCUUAACUGUGGGCUUGCGGUCGAUACGGGCAUCACUGGAGUUCGGCAGGGGAGACUGGAAUUCCUGGUGUAGCGGUGAAAUGCGCAAAUAUCAGGAGGAACACCGGUGGCGAAGGCGGGUCUCUGGGCCGAUACUGACGCUGAGGAGCGAAAGCGUGGGGAGCGAACAGG